rnacentral:rRNA from 1 species
UACGUAGGGACCGAGCGUUGUCCGGAUUCAUUGGGCGUAAAGAGCUCGUAGGCGGCUGUUCAAGUCGAACGUGAAAACUCGGAGCUCAACUCCGAGCCUGCGUUCGAUACUGGACGGCUAGAGUCUGGUAGGGGGAUCUGGAAUUCCAAGUGUAGCGGUGAAAUGCGUAGAGAUUUGGAGGAACACCAGUGGCGAAGGCGACUUUCUGGUCUGUAACUGACACUGAGGCGCGAAAGCGUGGGGAGCAAACAGG